GGGAGUGUAGCUCAGUGGUAGAGCACAAGCCUAGAGUGUAUGAAGCACUGUGUUCAAUCACCAACACAACACACACA
rnacentral:tRNA from 1 species